GCUCGCCUCAGCAGCAUAUACUAAAAUUGGAACAAUACAGAGAGGAUGAGCAUGGCCCCUACACAAGGAUGACAUGCGAAUUCGAAAGUAUUCCAUAUUUUG
ensembl:snRNA U6 U6 spliceosomal RNA